GGGCUCGGAGUGAGGCUCUGGGUCCACCUCCCACCCGUGUCUAUCGUACCUUGUUGCUUCGGCGGGCCCGCCGUUUCGACGGCCGCCGGGGAGGCCCUGCGCCCCCGGGCCCGCGCCCGCCGAAGACCCCAACAUGAACGCUGUUCUGAAAGUAUGCAGUCUGAGUUGAUUAUCGUAAUCAGUUAAAACUUUCAACAACGGAUCUCUUGGUUCCGGCAUCGAUGAAGAACGCAGCGAAAUGCGAUAAGUAAUGUGAAUUGCAGAAUUCAGUGAAUCAUCGAGUCUUUGAACGCACAUUGCGCCCCCUGGUAUUCCGGGGGGCAUGCCUGUCCGAGCGUCAUUGCUGCCCUCAAGCACGGCUUGUGUGUUGGGCCCCCGUCCCCCUCUCCCGGGGGACGGGCCCGAAAGGCAGCGGCGGCACCGCGUCCGGUCCUCGAGCGUAUGGGGCUUUGUCACCUGCUCUGUAGGCCCGGCCGGCGCCAGCCGACACCCAACUUUAUUUUUCUAAGGUUGACCUCGGAUCAGGUAGGGAUACCCGCUGAACUUAAGCAUAUCAAUAAGCGGAGGAA
rnacentral:rRNA from 1 species